rnacentral:lncRNA from 1 species
AGCCAAGGGGGAUCCUUGCUAGAACCUGGUGUUUGGACUUUCAGUCUCUACAACUGUGAGCUAAAUAAAUAUUUUUUAUAAAUAAAGUAGCCUUUCUUAGGUAUUUCAUUAUAGUGAUUAAAAAAUGGACUCAUACAGGGGCUGGGGUUGUGGCUCAGUGGUAGAGCACUUGCAUAACAUGUGUGAGGCACUGGGUUUGAUCCUCAGUACCACAUACAAAAAUAAAUAAACAAAAUAAAGGUAUUGUGUCCAUCUACAACUAAAAAAAAUAGACUCAUACAACAUUAUACCAGUUGUCUGGGGAUGUACGUUUAAUAUUACAAGCCCAUAAGUUUCUAGUUAUGGCUAGAAGGUAUUCAGCCUCCUGGAGCAAAAGAACAGGUGCAGUCAGAACUGAGAUACAGUUUGUAACCCAUUCAAUGUGACCUACCUCCUCUAAGCUGUCCUUCCCCCGUCUCUUUCUGUGUAGUGUCCUAAGGGAAGACUACUGCUCAUCAAUCAGUUCAGGAAUCAAGGCUCUAACUCCUCAUAAGUGCUUAAGAAUGCAGUCAACCAUCCUUAGGCCUCCUAAAAGGACCAGUUCUUUGAAUCUGGUUAUGGAGGCUACUCAGUAAGAAGAUCAUAGAAAAUAAUUGCCUGUGAAUCUCUGAAUAUAAGACACCCC